CUGGGGCGGGCGCAGGACUGCAGGCUGGGGCUCCGCUCCCCGGCGGGAGCCCGCGCGUGGUUCCCAGCGAAGUCCCCGCGCGGCUGGGCCCAGCCCGUGUGAAGAUGUGCCUGCUUCGCCUUCCAUCAUGACUGAAGUUUCCUGAGGCCUCCCCAGCUAUGCUCCCUAUACAGCCUGCAGAACGGUCGGCUGCCUCCAAUCCUGAGGUCAUCACUCAUCAAGAGGGGAUAAUCCCAGGGACAGCAGGAUCUGCUUCGUUACUUGGAUUUAGGAGCCAGAAACCCAUCAGGCAACUAAACAGUAACAAUGACCCGCCAUUAAACACACUGAGAGAAGAGCAUGAUGAAGAGUUUGUACAAGAAGAAGCCAGGAGCACUUGCUGACAAUGCUUACAGAGACGCAGGCUUCUAUGAGCUCUGCCUGUUGAACUGCAGUAAAAAUAGAUCUCCUUCCCCAGAGAGGCUUGGAUGUGGGCACAAUAUCAGUUCAGACGAUGGUCAAUGCAUGUACUUAAUAGAGUGAAAAGACUUUGGACUGUGAAGUCAGAUUACCUGGGUCUGAAUUGUUAUUCUUCUACUUCUUUGUAGUAUGCUUUCACCACAUUAAAAAUUGUCUGAGCCUCA
rnacentral:lncRNA from 1 species